GUAGAUGCUCAUUCCCCUUAUUAUGUUUGCUGCGGCUUCAUAAACCCCGGAAUGAUGCAGAGCCAUUAUGGUACCUGUUGCCCGGCCAGCCAGUAUCGCUACGGCUUUACUGGAUUUCAGGGCAAAGCGUUGAGUCGGGUACCCGUCGGUUGUCUUACCGACCUGAUUUUUUCACCUGCCUUUGGGCAGGUGUUUUUUU
rnacentral:sRNA from 1 species